UACGUAGGGUGCGAGCGUUAAUCGGAAUUACUGGGCGUAAAGCGUGCGCAGGCGGCGCGUUAAGACAGGUGUGAAAGCCCCGAGCUUAACUUGGGAAUUGCGCUUGUGACUGGCGUGCUGGAGUGUGGCAGAGGGAGGUGGAAUUCCGACGUGUAGCAGUGAAAUGCGUAGAGAUGUGGAGGAACACCGAUGGCGAAGGCAGCCUCCUGGGCCAGCACUGACGCUCAUGCACGAAAGCGUGGGGAGCAAACAGG
rnacentral:rRNA from 1 species